rnacentral:lncRNA from 1 species
GGCUGUUUUAUGUAAUAAAAGUAUAUAUUGCAUUUUUUACUUUUUUCUAAAGAUACUUUUAAAUAUAAUUUGUCCUUGCAUAAUGUAUAUGCGACGAACUUGCAUGUGAACUAUAAUAACAUAAUCGCGGAAAUGACAUGAAUGUACGAAACGUCCUCAUCCACUUCAAAUGUUCUUCAGAUUAAAGUACGUAAAAGGAUGAUUCUCUUAUACAAACUUCAUAAGGCUCAUAACGCACUUAAAAUCACUUUUCACAUUUUAAAUUUUCCGUUACAAAUUGAGUCUUGAAUUAUUUAUUAUUUUUCUAUUUGUACUGGUGUAUAUUGAUCAAUAAGACAUUUUGGCAACUAGGAAUGGAUUCCAAAACCCAUAAAAAUUAUAUUUAGGACAUGGGAACAUACAGAGAGGCAUUUUUCAACCAAAAAUCAAGCGAGAGAGAUGUAAACAACUGCAUGUCACCAAACAGCCUUCACCAAUGGAUAAAACCAUUGCCGCAUAGUAAGCAUUCAUAGAUCCUUGAUAAAAAUGUGAAAUUAUUUUAAAAAGAAAACUAUAUUGUGACUUGGACUUGCAAAUGACAGAACUCAAGAAAACUUUAGUAGUUGUAUUUAAUUAAAGAAAUUAGAUAUAAACGCAUCAGUUCUGAAAUAUGAGCAUACACAUUAUGCGAGAAAGUUUUUGAUAGUACCCGAGUUUCAGUCUUCAAGAAACAAAUGUUAAAUAAGUUUCGAUUUCGGCCUAAUUCGGAAAACAUUUGAAGGCAAAACUAGGUUUUUUUUCAAAACCCAGAAACUGAAACUAGCUCAGAAGUCACAAGUAUGUCCUUAAUUAAGUUUACAGAUAUGAUCAACAUAGAUUUACAUUGGUAACAUCUAGUGGUAGUGUUAAAAAUGUAAUCCUAUCUAAAACGACAAUCGAAUAUCCUCUCGUGCUUUGAAAACGGGGUAUCAUAGUUCAAGCUUAAGAAACCCAUAAAAAUUCUUGGAAUAUGCAAGAGAUGAACUUGAUAGUAUAUGACGUAUAUGA